rnacentral:rRNA from 1 species
UACGAGGGUGCGAACGUUAAUCGGAAUCACUGGGCGUAAAGCGCGCGUAGGCGGUUUGUUAAGUGGGAUGUGAAAUCCCCGGGCUUAACCUGGGAAUUGCAUUUCAAACUGGCCGACUAGAGUACGGUAGAGGGAGGUAGAAUUUCCUGUGUAGCGGUGAAAUGCGUAGAUAUAGGAAGGAAUACCAGUGGCGAAGGCGGCCUCCUGGAUCGAUACUGACGCUGAGGCGCGAAAGCGUGGGGAGCAAACAGG